rnacentral:rRNA from 1 species
CCAGAGAACUUAGCAGAGAUGCUUUGGUGCCUUCGGGAACUCUGAGACAGGUGCUGCAUGGCUGUCGUCAGCUCGUGUUGUGAAAUGUUGGUUAAGUCCCGCAACGAGCGCAACCCCUAUCCUUUGUUGCCAGCGAUUCGGUCGGGAACUCAAAGGAGACUGCCGGUGAUAAACCGGAGGAAGGUGGGGAUGACGUCAAGUCAUCAUGGCCCUUACGAGUAGGGCUACACACGUGCUACAAUGGCGCAUACAAAGAGAAGCGACCUCGCGAGAGCAAGCGGACCUCAUAAAGUGCGUCGUAGUCCGGAUUGGAGUCUGCAACUCGACUCCAUGAAGUCGGAAUCGCUAGUAAUCGUAGAUCAGAAUGCUACGGUGAAUACGUUCCCGGGCCUUGUACACACCGCCCGUCACACCAUGGGAGUGGGUUGCAAAAGAAGUAGAUAGCUUAACCUUCGGGAGGGCGUUUACCACUUUGUGAUUCAUGACUGGGGUGAAGUCGUAACAAGGUAAGCGUAGCGAG